rnacentral:rRNA from 1 species
AGAGUUUGAUCCUGGCUCAGGAUUAAUGCUAGCAGUAUGCCUAACACAUGCAAGUCGAACGGUAACAGAAGAUACUUUGUAUCUUGCUGACGAGUGGCAAACGGGUGAGUAAUAUAUUGAUAUCUGCCUCUAGGUCAGGGAUAGUCUAGAGAAAUCUAGCUUAAUACCAGAUAGUCUCUACGGAGUAAAGAUUCUUUGCCUAGAGAGGAGUCAGUAUCCUAUCAGCUAGUUGGUAAGGUAAUAGCUUACCAAGGCUAUGACGGGUAGUUGAUCUGAGAGGAUGAUCAGCCACAAUGGGACUGAGACACGGCCCAUACUCCUACGGGAGGCAGCAGUGAGGAAUCUUCCACAAUGGGCGAAAGCCUGAUGGAGCAAUACUGCGUGAAGGAUGAAGACCGAAAGGUUGUAAACUUCUUUUCUGAAGGAACAUUAUGAGGGUACUUCAGGAAUAAGGGGUGGCUAAAUACGUGCCAGCAGCCGCGGUAAUACGUAUACCCCAAGCAUUAUCCGGAAUUACUGGGUGUAAAGGGUCCGUAGGUGGAAAGAUAAGUUAGAUAUAAAAUUUUGAAGCUUAACUUCAAAUCUGUAUCUAAAACUAUUUUUCUAGAAUCAGGGAGAGGUAAGCGGAAUUCUCAGUGUAGGGGUGCAAUCUGUAGAUACUGAGAAGAACACCAAAAGCGAAGGCAGCUUACUG